CUUUCUCUUCGCAAAAUGGCGGCUCCGGCUCCGGCUGUGGCCGCGGCCCCUCCCGCGGCCGCCCCGGCUCCCAGCCCGACCGCCGCUCCCUCUACACCGACGACGGGCGCGCCCCCCUCUGCCGCGCCCCCUCCGCCCGCCGCCCCAGCGGCACCGCCACCCUCCGCGCCGCUGUCCGCCGCGCUCUCGGGUCCCUUCCCCGGCGGCCGCGUGGUGCGGCUGCACCCGGUCGUGCUCGCCUCCAUCGUAGACAGCUUCGAGCGGCGCAACGAGGGCGCGGCGCGGGUCAUCGGGACGCUGUUGGGCACUGUGGACAAGCACUCGGUGGAGGUCACUAACUGCUUCUCUGUCCCGCACAACGAGUCCGAGGAUGAGGUGGCUGUUGAUAUGGAGUUUGCCAAAAACAUGUACGAGUUGCACAAAAAGGUGUCUCCCAGCGAGAUCAUCUUGGGCUGGUAUGCAACAGGUCACGACAUCACAGAACAUUCUGUCCUGAUCCACGAGUAUUACAGCCGGGAAGCCCACAAUCCAAUCCACCUCACUGUGGACACAAGUCUCCAGAAUUCACGCAUGAGCAUUAAAGCCUACGUCAGUGCCCCAAUGGGAGUCCCUGGUAAAACUAUGGGCGUGAUGUUCACACCACUGACAGUGAAGUACGUUUAUUACGACACAGAGCGGAUAGGAGUGGAUCUUAUAAUGAAGACCUGCUUUAGCCCUAAUCGAGUGAUUGGCUUGUCCAGUGACUUACAGCAGGUGGGGUCAGCCUCAGCCAGGAUUCAGGACACCCUGGGUAUGGUGCUACAGUAUGCAGAGGAUGUAUUGUCUGGCAAAGUGGCUGCUGACAACACCGUGGGGCGUUUUCUGAUGGAUCUUAUUAACCAGGUGCCAAAGAUUUCACCAGAGGACUUUGAGACCAUGUUGAACAGCAAUAUUAAUGACCUUCUGAUGGUAACCUACUUGGCAAACCUCACGCAGUCACAGAUUGCUCUCAAUGAAAAACUUCUGAGUUUGUAAAGAAACUUCUGCCACCUUACACUUCAAAGAGCCUCAAGAGUGAGCAGAUACACACUUUUCAUGGUGAUUGAGCAGAUACACACUUUUCAUGGUGAUGUUACAAAUUCCCUUGGACCUUAACUUAAUUACCUAAACAAUUUGGUUUACAUCUUCAUUUCUGCUUUCCUGGAAAAUCCCUGACGUGGUUUAGGAAAUGAAUAGGAACUCCUGCAGUUUGGAUGAGCCCGGUAUUUUAAAAUGGAAUAAGUGAAUCUUUUGUCUUCUGGAUUUAUCUGUUUGUGUAACAAAAUACAGCUUUAAUGUAAGAAAUUAUUUGAAAUAAAGUUCAAUUGUAUUGGCAAGAA